CGUGGGUAACCUGCCCAUAAGACUGGGAUAACUCCGGGAAACCGGGGCUAAUACCGGAUAAUAUUUUGAACUGCAUGGUUCGAAAUUGAAAGGCGGCUUCGGCUGUCACUUAUGGAUGGACCCGCGUCGCAUUAGCUAGUUGGUGAGGUAACGGCUCACCAAGGCAACGAUGCGUAGCCGACCUGAGAGGGUGAUCGGCCACACUGGGACUGAGACACGGCCCAGACUCCUACGGGAGG
rnacentral:rRNA from 1 species